GUGCCAGCCGCCGCGGUAAUACGAAGGGUGCAAGCGUUAAUCGGAAUUACUGGGCGUAAAGCGCGCGUCGGUGGUUCAGCAAGUUGGAUGUGAAAUCCCCGGGCUCAACCUGGGAAUUGCAUCCAAAACUACUGAGCUAGAGUACGGUAGAGGGUGGUGGAAUUUCCUGUGUAGCGGUGAAAUGCGUAGAUAUAGGAGAGGAACACCAGUGGCGAAG
rnacentral:rRNA from 1 species